rnacentral:rRNA from 1 species
GACGAACGCUGGCGGCGUGCUUAACACAUGCAAGUCGAACGGUGAAGCUCCAGCUUGCUGGAGUGGAUCAGUGGCGAACGGGUGAGUAACACGUGAGCAACCUGCCCCUGACUCUGGAAUAAGCGCUGGAAACGGCGUCUAAUACUGGAUACGAGAAGGGUCCGCAUGGGCACUUUCUGGAAAGUUUUUCGGUUGGGGAUGGGCUCGCGGCCUAUCAGCUUGUUGGUGAGGUAAUGGCUCACCAAGGCGACGACGGGUAGCCGGCCUGAGAGGGCGACCGGCCACACUGGGACUGAGACACGGCCCAGACUCCUACGGGAGGCAGCAGUGGGGAAUAUUGCACAAUGGGCGAAAGCCUGAUGCAGCGACGCCGCGUGAGGGAUGACGGCCUUCGGGUUGUAAACCUCUUUCAGCAGGGAAGAAGCGAAAGUGACGGUACCUGCAGAAGAAGCACCGGCUAACUACGG